UGGGGAAUUUUGCGCAAUGGGCGAAAGCCUGACGCAGCAACGCCGCGUGUGUGAUGAAGGUCUUCGGAUUGUAAAGCACUUUCGACCGGGACGAAAACCCUCUGGCUAACAUCCAGGGGCUUGACGGUACCGGGAGAAGAAGCACCGGCUAACUCUGUGCCAGCAGCCGCGGUAAUACAGAGGGUGCAAGCGUUGUUCGGAAUUAUUGGGCGUAAAGCGCGUGUAGGCGGCUUUGCAAGUCGGGUGUGAAAGCCCUCAGCUCAACUGAGGAAGUGCGCCCGAAACUGCAGAGCUUGAGUACCGGAGAGGGUGGCGGAAUUCCCCAAGUAGAGGUGAAAUUCGUAGAUAUGGGGAGGAACACCGGUGGCGAAGGCGGCCACCUGGACGGUCACUGACGCUGAGACGCGAAAGCGUGGGGAGCAAACAGG
rnacentral:rRNA from 1 species